rnacentral:tRNA from 1 species
GCCGGAGUGGUGGAAUUGGUAGACACAAGGGACUUAAAAUCCCUCGGUAGCAAUGCCGUGCCGGUUCAAGUCCGGCCUCUGGUA